UACGUAGGGUCCGAGCGUUGUCCGGAGUUACUGGGCGUAAAGGGCGCGUAGGCGGCGUGUCAAGUCAGGCGUGAAAGCCCCGGGCUCAACCUGGGAACCGCGCUUGAGACUGGCAUGCUCGAGUUCGGGAGAGGAUGGUGGAAUUCCCAGUGAUAGAGGUGAAAUUCGUAGAUAUUGGGAAGAACACCGAUGGCGAAGGCAGCUUGCUGGGACGAUACUGACGCUAAGGCUCGAAAGCGUGGGGAGCGAACAGG
rnacentral:rRNA from 1 species